rnacentral:lncRNA from 11 species
AAAUAUAUCAGUGUACAAUUCAAUUGGCUCAAACCUGGCUUGGAGUCAAAACAAAUCAAAGUCUCUGUAGUCUUGGAGUCAAAGUCUCUGUAGUCUUGGAGUAGUUCUAUAGGACUCCUCAGGAUGUAAAUGCAGUCAAUUGGCUGUAGCUUCAGUUUGUAACAAAUGUUGCAGUCAUUUACAGUUCCCAGCCAGGAAGCUCGGUCAGAUAGUUGUUAUUUUAAAGUGGCUGGCUGUGAGCCGAAGUAAGCUGUUUACAUAAGCCGUUUACUACUGGUUUCCAGGUUUACUCCAGUUUCAGUUAACCGUUCAUCUGUUUGAUCACUCUCCAUGUAGAGGCAGGGCUCACUCCAAGCAUCUGGCACUGAAUCCCAAAAUUAACAAGGAUAAAGCAGCAACUUCAUCAUGAGAAAGAGUUCUUCGCAAGAACAUCCUCAUGCCACCACAGUCCUUUUGAUCAUGGUUAAACUGGUUAAUGUAGAACUUUAUUGCAUGGAGGUGGAAACCAGAACAAGAGCAGACACCUGCAGUUACAGGAUGCCAGCAGCAAUGUUUCAGGAAGAAGUGUUUCAAGAAAAAUAUGUUCCCAAUUCACUUGUAUGGUUUCAUUGCUCACCUUUUCCCUGAAGUGACUAUCUACGAACUUCUGGAUUUCAUCACACAUGCCCUCUAAUCACUCAAGUAUAAUUUUCA